GUGCCAAGGAUUGUUUAUCGUGAGUUGCUCCGUCGUACGCCACCGUCGGAGCCAUCAUUCCGCUGCUGCCCCCUUGCUCUGAGCCGUUCCAUUGUUGCAACAAGUGUUGUUAUUGUGGCUGCUCGAUUUAGUCGCACCUCUUUAGUAUGUUCAUUUCGGCCGUUCUUCCUCCCCGGUAGUUCUCGGCGUUGUCGUUCCCUAGUUGCUCAGCUUUUUCAUAGUGUUAGAAAUAGUUAGAGCAUAGCAUCCAUUGUUGGAAGCAAACAAAGAAUUGGUGGAAGUACACCCAGCUUAAGAAAAAUCUGUGCCUCACUUACCCAUGCAAAAAGGAGCCAACGCCAAUUGAGUAGUUGCUUCCUCAUAUAUAUGAAAGAUGAUAGUAUAGAGGGAAUAUAUGAUACUUUGAAGGAGUGUGCUGUCAUUAGCAAAUCAGCAGGGAGAAUUGGCGUUUCUAUUCACAAUAUCUGUGCCACUGGCAGCUACAUACAUAGAACAAAUGGGACAUCC